CGCAGAGGGCUUGACCCUGGUCCUCAGGUGCUGAGCUAGUCCCGGGUAGGGGUCCCGGGAUCUCGCGAGAGUUGCGACGCCAGUCGGAGGGGCACAGAGAGGCGCGGUUGCAGGCAUGGCUGCUCCUUCUGGGGUCCCGCCGAUGCGGGUGUUGGAAGAGCUGGGCAUUAACUUGUCACCCACGGGCGAGGUGACAGAGACAGAGGCAGUGGCCGCCGAGGGCGCCUACUACCUGGAGCAGGUCACCAUAACUGAAACAUCAGAAGAUGAAUGUGAAUAUGAAGAGAUACCAGAUGACAAUUUCAGCAUUCCAGAAGGAGAAGAAGAUCUGGCAAAAGCAAUUCACAUGGUUGACGAGCAGGCCACAGACACGCACAUUUUGGAACAACAGACCAUUCUUCCUUCAAGGCAUGUAAUGCAAGAAGCCAUAGAAGACUUUCUUUGCAAUUUUCUGAUCAAAAUGGGAAUGACCAGGACUCUGGACUGCUUUCAGGCCGAAUGGUAUGAGUUAAUACAGAAGACAGGAUCUGACCUUAGAACACUCGGUAAUGUUCCAGAUGUCUACAGCCAGGUGAUGCUUUUAGAGACUGAGAACAAAAACCUGAAGAAAGACUUGAAACACUUCAAACAGGCAGCUGAAAAGGCCAAAGAAGAUCUGCUGAAAACCCAGAAGGAACGGGACUUCCAUCGCAUGCAUCAUAAGCGCAUCCUGCAAGAAAAGAACAAGCUCAUUGCUGACCUCAAAGGGCUGAAAUUGCAUUAUGCAUCUUACGAACCAACUAUAAGGGUGUUACAUGAGAAACAUCAUGCUUUACUGAAGGAGAAAAUGCUGACCUCUUUGGAAAGAGAUCGAGCUGUUGGGAAGAUUUCUGGGCUUCAAGCAACACUGAAGAACAUAGACAUAGGACAUAUUCAGGUCCCUGUAAUCAAAGGAUCUUAUGAGACUGCUUCUAUCCUCAGAGAGCUGGGAGACAAAGCUGGUCACACUUAUGAGAAAGAAAACAGUUCAGAAGGCCCUACUCAAAAAAAUCUUCGUGAAGCCAGGGAGGAAAAUGGCUAUAAAACAAAGAUGAAGAGUGAAAGAAAGGACUCAGAAUUUCCUGUAGAUAUGCAACCUGAUCCAAACUUGACUGCAUGUACAGAGAGCCUUCCGACUGCAAAAUUUGACUACAGGCUAAACAACAUUUUCAGACUUCAUGAACUCCCAGUGAGCUGAACAAGAAUAAAAAGAAGAAAAAGUAGAAAGAGCAGAAAUAGGAAGACAGAAGAAGCAGAAGUAGGGAGACAGAAGAAGGAGGAGGAAGAAGAGGAGGAGGAAGAAGGAGAAGAAUGGAGAAAGAAGAACAAGAAAAGAAAAAAAGUAGAAGAAGAAAAGAAGAGCUCGUUUACUGCUUGAGUUGCCUGUGAACCAUACAGCUUUCAGAUGGCCCAAGUCUCAUCCCAGUCUUCAGUAUAUGUUCCUAAUAUAACUUAGGAAGAAUUACAGGUAACUUCUUUUAUGCUUUAUUACAAACCCAAUUUAUGUAUUUUCAGCAUUGUUUUCAGAUAAUAAAAUAAUCGAAUCAGUGCUCUCUUGUAAAGAUUUUAGAAAACCCUCUUUUCGGGUUUUAAUAUAUGGCUUGUGUUUUCUAUUUAAUGUGUUAUUUCUUUCCUCUACAAAGCUUUCUCUGAAUUAUCACAAAAUUUUAACACCCUGUGCUGCACAUGCUCGUGUUUUCACCUUUGGAACAUAAGAAAGAAGUUUUUGCUUUCAAGAGGAAACUUGGACAGUGAGAGAUAGCCAGAUCUGAAAUGGUUGUUUUAUAGACAUAUCCAUAGAAUGCCAGGGUCAUAGGAGAGGCACAGAGUCACAGAGCUCGGAAGCUUGUGUCCUAUAUUGUAAAAAUAUUGCAGCCACUUUUCUUUCUCAAAAAGGAGCUUACAUUAGAACAAAGUAUGAGAUUUUCCUUCUAUUCACAUGCCGUAGUUAGCAAAUGUCCCCUUUAAUUCUUCUCACACUUUGUUCUAAUGUAAGCUCCUUUUUGAGUUGCUUUGAUAUAUUACACAUUUAAUGUAAUUUAUAAAAGCCUUACCUUUUACAAUUAUGGGACUUUUACAGUGAAAAUGAUAGCUAUAUAGAACUUGUAUUGUGUAUUUUUGUUACUAUCAAGAAUUUUUUCUUUAGUUUUAUACUUGAGUCAUGGAUUUAAAUCCUAUAUUAUUAGUAAAGUAUUUUCAACACUGCCAUAUAUAGAUAAGUAUAUUUAUUGAUAUAACAAACACUGAGUUUAUAAUGGUAGGUAUAACAGGGAGAAAAAAUUAAAUAUCUUAAACAAUUGACCUCAGAUGCUUUCAAACAAACAAAAACAAAUUCUGUAGUUGUUGGCAGGUCCCUGGACAUCCGUCAGUAGCUAUGAAACAGAGUCUGUGAGGUCCUGGGAUGCAAGAGAAAGCUGAACUAUGCUCUGUCAAAUGGAGGAUGGCAUAAGAAUGGAAAGGCACUGGGACAGGGAACUGUGAAAAGAGUUUGUGAUAUUCUGUUUAAAUCAUUCUGUGAUACAGAGAUGUGUGAAGAAAGGGCUCAGAGUUUAUAUGAUGGUCUGUUGUUUGAUGUACUGAAGCAAGUUCAGCUACUACAGGUAAUAGUAGCUGUUGACAGUUCCUGAAUAUUUGUUUCCUAGUAGAAGAUAAGAAUGUGGGUCUCUUACUCUGUACAGAAAGCUUGUGUUUCAGUAGAGGAAGUUCUUUGGUUGUAUUUUAUUGCUGGAGAUUAAGCACGGUGACUUGCUUGUGUUGAAUAUCCCAUUCUUGUGUCCUCCAGAAAACUCACUUUUGCUUAGAUGUUCUUCUAUGCAAUAGGGAACAAAUAUAUAAAUAACUUUUUUCUGCAAUGCAUAUAAGGCAACUUCAAAAAAAAGAUGAUAUGGCAUAACACAAAUGAGAAAGCACAUUAGCCUUAUUGGAUGUUGGUUCACUAUUUAUUGGUAAACUAAUAACAACACCAAUUUAGUAAAUUGUUCUGUUGUCUCUAUGUAUUUUCUUUUGCUUCAAGUAUGAGUAAUUUUCUAGUCAACAUAGAGCAUAUUUUAAAAGAAAAAAACUAACUAUAUAAUAUUGGUAUAUAAAUUAAGUGACCAAUGUUUCGCCAUUAUUUGUUUCCUUGAGAAAGAAAAGAGUGAAUUUUGUACAAAAGAAAUGAAGCAUGCAUUACUAUGAAACACAUGGAUAGAGAUGUUUACUCUGAAAUCAGUUAGCUGUUACUGUGAAUCCCAAGAUAUCCAUGACUGUCAUUUACUGUUUUCUCUAUUUUGAUUCUGAUUGCCAUUUUUUCUAUUUUUGCUGUCACUACAUCUGAAACUAAAUAAUU